rnacentral:tRNA from 1 species
AGGGGUGUCGCCAAGCGGUAAGGCACCAGACUCUGACUCUGGUAUUCGUUGGUUCGAAUCCAGCCACCCCUGCCA